CUUCAACGAGCCCAGGUACAGAGGGCGUUCACGGUCCUGCCCGUAGGUCGCCAGCAGCGCCUGCGCCUC
rnacentral:antisense_RNA from 1 species